rnacentral:tRNA from 1 species
CAGGGAAUAGUUUAAUAAAAUAUUAAUUUUGGGAAUUAUUGAUGAAGAAUAAUCUUCUUCCUUGA